rnacentral:tRNA from 1 species
GGGGAAAUGACGCAGUGGUAGCGUGUUUGUUUUGCAAGCAAAAGGUCGUGGGUUCAAAAACUCCCACUUUCUCCA